CCUACGGGAGGCUGCAGUGGGGAAUAUUGGACAAUGGGGGGAACCCUGAUCCAGCGACGCCGCGUGAGUGAAGAAGUAUUUCGGUAUGUAAAGCUCUAUCAACAGAGAAGAAAAUGGCGGUACCUGACUAAGAAGCCCAGGCUACCUACGUGCCAGCCGCCGAGGUACUACGUAGGGGGCAAGCGUUAUCCGGAUUUACUGGGUGUAAAGGGAGCGUCGACGGUGCAUCAGGUCUGAUGUGAAGGGUCGGGGCCCAAACCCGGGACUGCAUUUGAAACUGUUGAACUUGAGUACAGGAGAGGUAAGCGGAAUUCCUAGUGUAGCGGUGAAAUGCGUAGAUAUUAGGAGGAACACCAGUGGCGAAGGCGGCUUACUGGACUGUAACUGACGUUGAGGCUCGAAAGCGUGGGUAGCAAACAGGAUUAGAUACCCGGGGAGUC
rnacentral:rRNA from 1 species